rnacentral:misc_RNA from 1 species
UCCGGUUUGACACCGGCAGUCUCCCUAGAGUGCCCGGCAUAACCCGCUGGUAACUAGGGACGAGGGUUGCGCUCGUUGCGGGACUUAACCCAACAUCUCACGACACGAGCUGACGACAGCCAUGCAGCACCUGUGCACUCGCCCCUUGCGGGGGCUACAUCUCUGCAGCUUUCCGGCAUAUGUCAAACCCAGGUAAGGUUCUUCGCGUUGCAUCGAAUUAAACCACAUGCUCCACCGCUUGUGCGGGUCCCCGUCAAUUCCUUUGAGUUUUAAUCUUGCGACCGUACUCCCCAGGCGGAAUGCUUAAAGCGUUAGCUGCGCCACUAGUGAGUAAACCCACUAACGGCUGGCAUUCAUCGUUUACGGCGUGGACUAC